CGAAACAAAUCCAACAAUGAACAACGAACACAAAAUUGUAUGGUUUGAUGGUGAGGUGUUUGUCCGUUAGCUGGUGACUCUAUUUACACGGAUAGAACUUUUAUUGGAAAGCAUAUUAUGCCAAAACUCGAAAUUCGUUUAAGUUAUAGAUUGAUAGACGUGUCUACUCUAAAAUAGUUGUUUAAGAUAAGUUGUAUACAUUUAAGAAGAAAAACGAGCACCGAAACAAAUCCAACAAUGAACAACGAACACAAAUUGUAUGGUUUGAU